rnacentral:tRNA from 1 species
UGCGGGGUAGAGCAGUUUGGUAGCUCGCAAGGCUCAUAACCUUGAGGUCACAGGUUCAAAUCCUGUCCCCGUAU